rnacentral:lncRNA from 10 species
CAUGGGUGUGUUCUGAGGACCAAAUGAAUUAAAGGAUAUGAGCACCUGGGUCAAAGCAAUGAAAGGUGGUGAGUGCCUCUCGCUAUGUUUGAUGCUACACACCUGCUGCCUGAGCAGCCCCUGAGAAGAGAAAUGGACCUCUACCAGUGCCUAAAAAUAAGGCUGCUUCCGUGCCCUCUGGCAGCCAACAGAUGUUCACGAUGGACAAAUUCACACACAAACCAGGAUGCUUCAUGUACAGAUAAAACUUGGUCCAUAUCAUGAGACUCAUAUCAUGAGACAAAGGUUAAAAAGGGGGGAAAAAAGCUUAUUUUAGUAAAAAAUGAAACCAUUUUUCAAUUAGUUUCAGUUCUAAGCAGACACCGUCUUCUGUUUGUCCUAAAAAUGAGAAGCUGGAGACAGCUCCUCAAUUCAGUUUUAUUUCUCUCUUUUGUUGGCACUUUAAGAAACACCUUAAUUCUCCCAGCUAGCAACAAUAGUAGGUAAAAGGGGAAAAUACAUUCAAUUCUGGGAAGAAAGGAUCACAUAGCACAGUGCAGAAGUAUAUCCUAGGAGGCCAUGUGAUUUUAUUCUUUGUCAUUUUUCUCUUUUCCCUUUUCUUCUUCAUGGACAACCAUUUAAGGAAUGCGGGGGGAGAGGGCUGGGAUGACGAUGUGACCAGGUUAAAAGCAGCCCAGGACAUAAAAUAAAAAAUUAAGGGGGGGGGGACAGUUGUAAACUUCUGAAAAUAGAAACUGCCUCAAAUGUGUUAUUCCAGUACACCAGACCCUCCUUCUGAGUUCAAGAUUCCCUUUGUGCCUCGCCACAGGAUGUGUUAAGAUGAUAUACAGUGUGUUUAAAUAAAACAAGAAAACAAACCAAGAAAAAUUUAGCAUUAUGAAGAAUGAGAGUCUACUAAAAAUACUCUAAAAUGACUUCAAACAUGAAAUCACAUUUAAAAAAUAACUUUUUAAUGACUUAGGCAUAAGUGACUCAGGAACAUAUGGAUUACAUUUCCUUCAAAAUGCAUAUGGCUUUAACAAUUGGGGGAGAUUUGUUUGGUUUGUAGGACACAGUUCUGAAAAGGAAAGAAGUCUGUCAAACGGGACUCACGUUUUCUGGUGCUUUCUUUGGUGACGGAGUCAAUUGGCCUUAAUGGCCAUUACCUAAGAAACUUGGAACAGCUUCCUUGGAUGUAGUUUAACUCCCUUUCCCUAUUUAGGCAAAGUAUUCAACACAUUUAUAAUAAAUGACUCUCCUUCACCCCUAAUAUCUCAAGCAUCAAAAACAGGUCUACUUCCUUAAAAAAAAAAAAAAAAAAAAGGCUGAGCUGUCUUAGCCCAGAGCAAAUGGCUAUUGCUGCUUUGUGACAGUUGGGCACAGACUUAUAUACAGGGAUGUUUUUCAUUCUUUUAGCCCAUUAGGAACUAAGGUCAAGAGAAUGUCACUUUUUUUUUCUUAAAAACACAAAUUUUAGACAAAGUCUGCAACAAUCAGGCUCUCUGUUACCGGCCGAGCCUUCGGUUUUUAUCACACCAACCUCACACUCUCACCAAUGCUACUGCCACCACCACCAUGACUAUAAAACACCUCAGUGUUCUGACAUGGGAAGAGUAGCUUCUGGUUGGUGGAGCCCAUCUCACAUUAGCCAGAGACAAAGCAACACCUUGUUUAUCCCGGCUUGGCUUUUGGCCUGUGUCCAUGACUGGUCCAUACCUUGGACACAUGGAUGGUUAAAGAAAGAAAAAAAAUCCCUUAGCAUUCACAAUGUUUAACUGUUUCCAAAAGGCACCCUCAAAUAUCAUCUUCUUCCAUCCUGGAGGACAGUUAUGACAAGUACUGAACCCACUCCUCAGAUGAGGAAAUUGAGAGCUGAGGUUCAGGGAAAAGCCACAUAGCAACAACUAGCCAUUCUGCAAACACCGAUUAUACUUUCAUGCCUUGGCUUCUUUUAUUGUUUCCUUUGGCUAAUUUUUAAUAGUCACCCCCUCUAGAAUGCCAACUGCCCCACUUAAAAAUUCCCCAUUUUCAAGGGUCAGAACAAAUGGCACAUGUUUCGGAGAGAGUGCGCAAACAUUCAAUCUCCAAGUGCGAUGCUCUUUUUUGUGUGUCAAGUGGGCUAAGCCACCAUCUCAGGUUAUUCAAUUAAACACUAAUCAGGGUGCUGCUGUGAAGGCAUCUGGUAGAUGUGAUUAAAGUCCAUAAUCAGCUGACUUUAAGGGAGAUUAUUUUAGAUAAUGUGGAUGAGCCUGAUUCAAUCGGUUAAAAGGCCUUAAGAGCAGAGCUGAAACUUCCCUGAAGAAGAAGAAAUUCUGCUUGUGGACUACAGCUUCAGCCAAGUGCCUGAGAGUUCCUGCUCACCCUUCCUGACGGCCUGCCCUACAGAUUUUGGACUUGCCUGGUCAGCCUCCACAAUCACAUAGGCACUUCCUUGCAAUAAUAGCUCUUAAUAUAUGUCUCCACUGGUUUUGUCUCCUGGUUGAACCUUAACUGAUAAACCAGGUAAUAUCCCCUCUGGGUUCUUCCAGUUUAUACAACUCUUAUAUCAUUUCCAGCUUAUUGGUGGUACUGUAACUUCUUUGUAGGUAGGCUCAUGUCUCCUAUCUUUGUAAACUACACAGCACUAAAUAUUUGCUGCAAGAAUUAAAUUAUGUUAUGCAAGAGCAGGACAGAGGGUGUUUCACCCUCCUAUGAGAUAAGUAAAACUCAUACAAAAUGCUCAUGAAGAGAUAUAACUAGCAAAAGAGAGUCAUGGCCUUAGAAGUAAUUUUACUGAAGAAAUAUUACUGUCACCUACCAACAGGUUACAGAGUUUCUCUUCAUUGUACAGGACAGUCCUGUGCCUGCAGGGUAUUUAACAUUCCUGGGCCCCUGGCACUGAAUGAAAAUUGUAACCCCUCUACCCUGACUCCUAUCAUUUCAACAACCCAAAAGCCCUCUCACACACACAUUUGCAAAUGCCUCUUGGGGGUGUGGACAUACUACACUCUUCUCUAGUUAAGAAUUACCUUCUUUCCACUAUAACAAUUAAAAUUUAUCAAGCUACAGACAGAAAAAUUACUACAACAAUGACUUCUACAACGAGUUGUAGAAUUACGGAUCAGAAAAGUGGAAUUCCACUAAUAGGUUAUCAUGAAGGCCAAAAAGCCAUCACAUGCAGAAAGUUAGAGGUGGGAUAAGGGAGGGGGGAGG